GAUGAACGCUGGCGGCGUGCCUAAUACAUGCAAGUCGAGCGAACGGACGCGACGCUUGCUUUUCUGAUGUUAGCGGCGGACGGGUGAGUAACACGUGGAUAACCUACCUAUCAGACUGGGAUCACUUCGGGAAACCGGAGCUAAUACCGGAUAAUAUUUUGAACCGCAUGGUUCAAAAGUAAAAGUCGGUCUUGCUGUCACUUAUAGCUGGAUCCGCGCUGCAUUAGCUAGUUGGUACGUUCACGGCUUAGCACGGCAACGAGGCCUAGACGACCGGAGAGGGUGAUCGGCCACACUGGAACUGAGCCACGGUCCAGACUCCUACGGGAGGCAGCAGUAGGGAAUCGGCCGCAGUAGGCGAGAGCCUGACAGAGUGACGCCGCGUGAGUGAUGAAGGCCUUCGGAUCGUAAAACUCGGUUAUUAGGGAAGAACAGAUGUGUAAGGAGCUGUACACAGCUUGACGGUACCUAAUAAGAAAGCCACGGCUAACUACGUG
rnacentral:rRNA from 1 species